rnacentral:rRNA from 1 species
GGACAGAUGGGAGCUUGCUCCCUGAUGUUAGCGGCGGACGGGUGAGUAACACGUGGGUAACCUGCCUGUAAGACUGGGAUAACUCCGGGAAACCGGGGCUAAUACCGGAUGCUUGUUUGAACCGCAUGGUUCAAACAUAAAAGGUGGCUUCGGCUACCACUUACAGAUGGACCCGCGGCGCAUUAGCUAGUUGGUGAGGUAACGGCUCACCAAGGCAACGAUGCGUAGCCGACCUGAGAGGGUGAUCGGCCACACUGGGACUGAGACACGGCCCAGACUCCUACGGGAGGCAGCAGUAGGGAAUCUUCCGCAAUGGACGAAAGUCUGACGGAGCAACGCCGCGUGAGUGAUGAAGGUUUUCGGAUC